rnacentral:lncRNA from 1 species
GUCAUGUCUGGUAAAUUUCCAACAUAUAUUAUCAACUACUAUUCUAUACAAAGAAAGAUAACUCCAAUUGAAAAUUAAUUGCUAUUGCACAAUAUUGUGCAAUUAGAUAUUUCUUGCUAUUGUGCAAUACUGUGCAAUUGAAAAUUUCUUGCUAUUGCACAAUACUUGAUAUGGAAUCCUGAUUUGGACCAACUUGAAAACUGGGCCCAUAAUCAAAAAUCAAAGUACAUAUUUAGAUAAAGCA